rnacentral:rRNA from 1 species
UACGAAGGGGGCUAGCGUUGUUCGGAUUUACUGGGCGUAAAGCGCACGUAGGCGGAUUGUUAAGUCAGGGGUGAAAUCCUGGAGCUCAACUCCAGAACUGCCUUUGAUACUGGCGAUCUUGAGUCCGGGAGAGGUGAGUGGAACUCCGAGUGUAGAGGUGAAAUUCGUAGAUAUUCGGAAGAACACCAGUGGCGAAGGCGGCUCACUGGCCCGGUACUGACGCUGAUGUGCGAAAGCGUGGGGAGCAAACAGG